GGUGGUUCUCGGGUGACACACCCCAGAACCAGAGAGGAGGAAGCCCUGAUUCCGGGGUGUGUCACCCGAGAACCGUC
rfam:Myotis lucifugus cont2.4662, whole genome shotgun sequence.